rnacentral:rRNA from 1 species
GCGGGUUUGUAAGUCAGUGGUGAAAGUCUGCAGCUCAACUGUAGAACUGCCAUUGAUACUGCAUACCUUGAGUAAUUAUGAAGUGGUUAGAAUAUGUAGUGUAGCGGUGAAAUGCAUAGAUAUUACAUAGAAUACCGAUUGCGAAGGCAGAUCACUAAUAAUUUACUGACGCUGAUGGACGAAAGCGUAGGUAGCGAACAGGAUUAGAUACCCUGGUAGUCUACGCCGUAAACGAUGGUUACUAGCUGUUUGGCUCGAUUGAGAGCUGAGUGGCUAAGCGAAAGUGAUAAGUAACCCACCUGGGGAGUACGUUCGCAAGAAUGAAACUCAAAGGAAUUGACGGGGGCCCGCACAAGCGGUGGAGCAUGUGGUUUAAUUCGAUGAUACGCGAGGAACCUUACCAGGGCUUAAAUGUAGCUUGACAGGGGUGGAAACACCUUUUCCUUCGGGCAAGUUACAAGGUGCUGCAUGGUUGUCGUCAGCUCGUGCCGUGAGGUGUCAGGUUAAGUCCUAUAACGAGCGCAACCCCUGUGGUUAGUUGCCAGCGAGUCAAGUCGGGAACUCUAACCAGACUGCCGGUGCAAACCGUGAGGAAGGUGGGGAUGACGUCAAAUCAUCACGGCCCUUACGUCCUGGGCCACACACGUGCUACAAUGGUAAGGACAGAGAGCAGCCACUGGGCGACCAGGAGCGAAUCUAUAAACCUUAUCACAGUUCGGAUCGGAGUCUGCAACUCGAC